UGUGAGUAGGUUGGAAUUCAAGGUCGUUAUCGUGCCGAAACCCUUCCGGAGGGUCCUUCUAAUUGUUCCCUCCACCCCCCCCCCCCUCUUUCAACUACAUUUCUAUUAUUAUGUACCUCCUUAAGUCUGUCCUCUUUUCAAAAGACUUCCAUUCCCCCUUCUUCCUCCUACUUCUUAUUCCC
ensembl:ncRNA F58H1.14 ncRNA